CCUACGGGAGGCAGCAGUGAGGAAUAUUGGUCAAUGGACGAGAGUCUGAACCAGCCAUGUAGCGUGAAGGAUGACUGCCCUAUGGGUUGUAAACUUCUUUUAUAUGGGAAUAAAAUGUUCCAUGUGUGGGAGUUUGUAUGUACCAUACGAAUAAGGAUCGGCUAACUUCGUGCCAGCAGCCGGGGUAAUAUGGAGGAUCCGAGCGGUAUCCGGAUUUAUGGGGUUUAAAGGGUGGGCGGGCGGAAUGUCAAGUCAGCGGUAAAAUUUCGUGGCUCAACCCCGUCGUGCCGUUGAUACUGGCGUUCUUGAGUGAGCGAGAAGUAUGCAGAAUGCGUGGUGUAGCGGUGAAAUGCGUAGAUAUCACGAAGAACUCCGGUUGCGAAGGCAGCAUACUGG
rnacentral:rRNA from 1 species